GAUGAACGCUGACAGAAUGCUUAACACAUGCAAGUCAACUUGAACUUCGGUUUGGGUGGCGGACGGGUGAGUAACGCGUAAAGAACUUGCCUCACAGCUAGGGACAACAUUUGGAAACGAAUGCUAAUACCUGAUAUUAUGAUUUUAGGGCAUCCUAGAAUUAUGAAAGCUAUAUGCGCUGUGAGAGAGCUUUACGUCCCAUUAGCUAGUUGGAGAGGUAACGGCUCACCAAGGCGAUGAUGGGUAGCCGGCCUGAGAGGGUGAACGGCCACAAGGGGACUGAGACACGGCCCUUACUCCUACGGGAGGCAGCAGUGGGGAAUAUUGGACAAUGGACCAAGAGUCUGAUCCAGCAAUUCUGUGUGCACGAUGAAGUUUUUCGGAAUGUAAAGUGCUUUCAGUUGGGAAGAAAAAAAUGACGGUACCAACAGAAGAAGUGACGGCUAAAUACGUG
rnacentral:rRNA from 1 species